AGUGAACGCUGGCGGUAGGCCUAACACAUGCAAGUCGAACGGCAGCACAGUAAGAGCUUGCUCUUACGGGUGGCGAGUGGCGGACGGGUGAGGAAUACAUCGGAAUCUACUUUUUCGUGGGGGAUAACGUAGGGAAACUUACGCUAAUACCGCAUACGACCUACGGGUGAAAGCAGGGGAUCUUCGGACCUUGCGCGAUUGAAUGAGCCGAUGUCGGAUUAGCUAGUUGGCGGGGUAAAGGCCCACCAAGGCGACGAUCCGUAGCUGGUCUGAGAGGAUGAUCAGCCACACUGGAACUGAGACACGGUCCAGACUCCUACGGGAGGCAGCAGUGGGGAAUAUUGGGCAAUGGGCGCAAGCCUGAUCCAGCCAUACCGCGUGGGUGAAGAAGGCCUUCGGGUUGUAAAGCCCUUUUGUUGGGAAAGAAAAGCAGCAGGUUAAUACCCCGCUGUUCUGGCGGUACCCAAAGAAUAAGCACCGGCUAACUUCGUG
rnacentral:rRNA from 1 species